GAUGAAGAACGUAGCGAAAUGCGAUAAGUAAUGUGAAUUGCAGAAUUCAGUGAAUCAUCGAAUCUUUGAACGCACCUUGCGCCCUUUGGACAUUCCGAAGGGCAUGCCUGUUUGAGUAUCAUGAACACCUCAACUCUCACGGCUUGUCCGUGAUGAGCUUGGACUUUGGGGGUCUUGCCGGCCUGUGGUCGGCUCCUCUCAAAUGGAUCAGCUUGCCAGUGUUUGGUGGCAUCACAGGUGUGAUAACUAUCUGCGCUUGUGGUUUUCCAUCAGAUAACCUUCAGUGAUAUGGAGGUUCGCUGGAGCUCACAAAUGUCUCUCCUUAGUGAGGACAGCUCUUUGAACGUUUGAUCUCAAAUCAGGUAGGACUACCCGCUGAACUUAAGCAGAUCAAUAAGCGGAGGA
rnacentral:misc_RNA from 1 species